AAGGUGAUGAAAAAUUUUCCCAAACAUUCGCAGUUUCCUCGGUAGCAUACAACGACGAACCUAAUCACAGUAUGCCGGUGACCGCUCCAUACGACCUUCCUUUGGAUGUCUGAUUA